UUUAUCUCUUGAUAUGAAUUUGUAUUGUUUAAUCUAUAGCUAGUUACAGUUCAGAUUCUGCUAUUUUUCGUAAAUUGGCGUAUAGUUACAGUUCGUAAUCAACCUAAUUUUAAUUUGUUGUAGACGGAAAAUUGGUGUAUAACUACAGUUUUGUUUUCAAUAUGAAUAUUCUUGAUUAUUGUAGUUACUGUUCUUAUUGCUUUUUUGCUGAUUAUAUUAUUGUUUAAUUUAUACUUAUUUCUGAUUAUAUUCUCGAUUGUUUUAAUUUAUACUUAUUGCUGAUUAUAUUGUAGUUACAGUUUUGUUUUAAUUUAUACUUAUUGCUGAUUAUAUUUUUGAUUGUUUAAUAUGUCAUUUACAAUUAUUUAAUUUCUUAUACUUGUUGCAUUGCCAAUCAUUUUUUGUAUGAUUGAGUAGUUGAUUUGAGUUUUGAUUUGAUACCGAUCAAUCUUUGAGUUCUAAUUUGACAAUGACAUUAUUUUUGUUAUGAGUUUAAUUUUGAUGUUGAGAAUUUUCUUUGUUUCUUGAGUGUAAAAUGCAUAUAAUUAGUAACCAUCUUUCUCACGUUUAAUUUAUUUAUGGGUUAUCUCUCUUGAGUCAUACAUGAGAUUUAUGUUUUACGUAAACAACAGCAUUUUGAAAAACGAGUUGGCCAAUGUGCAAAGUGAUUUGCAGAAUAUCUUUGAUUCCUUCACUAAAAGUUGUUGUAAUUACACAGUUGCUUUCAAAACCGAGUAAUUGCAAGUUAUAUACUUUUCUUCUUCAUCUUGUUUACUUUCUAUCUUUUUGGCUUGAUUUCCUAAUUCUAGGGUUUAUGAUUAUUUUGUUUUUCAUUAAAUAUUCAUCAAAAUUACUGGUGUGCACUGACCGGGUAUGUUGUUGCUUUAAUGUGUAUGGGUUUGCGAUUGUUGCUGUAGUUCAAAGUAGUAUAUAUCCUAGUCUUGUGCUCUUUGUGAAUGAUACACUUUGGGUGAUACUGCAACUUCGGUGUGCCUAAAACUGUUGUUGUAGAUAGUUAAGAACAUUCCCUUAGCUAGUUAAGUUUAUGAUGGUUUUUCUUAGUUAUGGAAAACCAUUAAAUUAUCCUUGACUUUACAUGAUAGUGGUUUAAGGUGUUCUACUCUUAAAAUUCCAUAUAAGUAUUGAUCUCAUAACACUUUUCCUUAGAGUCAUAUACAUGGUUUUAUGUGGCCGAGUCAAUGGAUAUGGAUUGUCUUCAUAUGUUCUUAUUUAUAAUUAAAAUUAGCUUGUGUAUUGUUUAUACUUUAGAUAGGUUACUUUGUUUUUGUGUCUUAAUUGGUAUGUUUUUUGUUGUGGUGAUUUAAUGUUGUAAUGAAUUAACCAAAAGACUCAUUGUUGAACUACAAGACGUGCAUUGAUCUAACAUAUCCGCUCACUUGAACUACUCACUCACUGAUGAGCUAUCUCUGAAGUCUUGACCAUUUCAUGUUUGUCAAAACUUUUGCUAUUAUUUGUGGAUAAGGAGCAACUGCAAAAUAUUUGAGAUGCAUGUUUUUGACAUGCUAGAUGUAAGGAAUUACUUUCUAAACUUAUUAAUUUGUUUUGUUGGUUAACUAAGGAUACAAAAUGAGUAAGUUGGACCAACUUCUUACAGUCUAGUAAUGAAUAUGAGAAAGGCGUUCUAGAUUAUUUAGACCGAGCAUUUGCUACGCAAGCCAUUGGGGAUCAAAUAAUUUGUCCAUGUAAAGAGUGUUAUCUUCGGUUUUGGUAUCGUAGAGACGAGUGUACAAUCAUUUGAUCGCAAAUGGGUUCAUGCUAGGAACCAAAGGAUGGCAGUGUGAUGAGAAUGACACAUCUUCAACAAAAAAUACUAAUGUUGACAAUUCACCCGAUUUUCUAGAUGGCAUGGAACGUUUGAUAUAUGAUACUCAGAGAUGUGGCAACCAUGUUUCCACGUUACCAUGAAGGGGUUGGAGAGGAAGCCAAUACAGAGGCUAAAAAGUUUGAUAGGUUAGUAGAAGAUGAAAAUGAAGAGCUAUAUCCUAGAUGCAAAACAUUUUCAAAACUUUCGUUCCUCAUUCGCGUGUUCCUUUUUAAGUGUAAACAUAGGAUAACGACCACUGCCUUUGCAGGUUAUUUGUAAUUAUUUCGAGAAGCAGUAGCAGAUUCUAAAUUGCCUAAAAAUCUUUCAAUGAGACAAAGAAAGUGGUGAAAGAUUUAGGUCUUCAAUAUGAUAAAAUCCAUGCAUGUCAUAAUGAUUGUAUGCUUUAUUGGAAAGAGCAUGAAUGUGCUACAUCUUGCCAUGUGUGUCAUGCCUCAAGAUGGAAAGAUAAAAGGAAUGAACAUUUAGAAGAUAUGAAUAAUUUUUCAUCUAAGGAUGCUCAUUUAGACCCCGCAAAAGUUGUCUGGCAUUUCCCUCUAAAGCCUAGGCUUCAAAGGCUGUAUAUGUGUUCAAAAACAGUAGAGUUAAUGAGGUGGCAUGAUGAAGAAAGGGUUAUACAUGAUCUACUUCGAUAUCCUGCUGAUGGUGAAGCAUGGAAACAUUUUGAUGAACGAUACCCGGAUUUUUCUAGUGAAGCACGCAAUAUUAGAUUAAGACUUGCAAGUGAUGGAUUUAAUCCAUUUCGAACUUUGAGCACGCAACACAAUUAAUGGCCUGUUGUCUUGAUCAAUUAUAACUUACCCCCAUAGCUAUGUAUGAAGUCUGAAUUCCUAAUGUUGUCUUUACUUAUUCGUGGGCCCAACUCUCCAGGAAAUGACAUUAAUGUCUACCUCCAACCAUUGGUGGAAAAGCUCAAAGAUCUAUGGGAGAAUAGGUUGCACACCUAUGAUGCAUCCAAAAAGCAAAUGUUCAAGAUGCAUGCAGGUUUACAAUCAACAACAAGUGACUUUCCAAAAUACGCUAUGUUGUCUAGUUGGAGCACCAAAGGAAAGUUUGCAUGCUCUUAUUGUCAUUAUGAAACUGAUCAUCGCUAUUUAAAUAAUAGUAAGAAAUCAGUCUAUAGAGCGAAUUGUCGAUGGUUGGAUGUCAAUCAUCCUUGGCGGCAUGAUAUAAAGUCUUUUGAUGGGGAAAAGGAGGAGAGGAUAGCUCCGGAACCUUUAACAGGGGCUGAGAUUGUUAGCUUAUAGGAAAACUAGAAAAAUAGUUUUGGAAAGUUGCAGCCGAAGAAGAAAAGUAUAGAUACUCCUUGGAGAAAAUCAUCAAUCUUCUACACUCUACCAUACUGGAAAGAUGGCAAAUGUCGUCAUCAUUUGAAUGUCAUGCAUAUAGAAAAAAAAAUUUGCAAUAUUUUGCUGGGAACUUUAUAGACAUUACUAGAAAGUCUAAAGAUCACCAUAAAGCUCGAUUAGAUAUGAAAGAAAUAGGAAUAAGAAAAGAAUUGCAUCUUUUGGAAUCAGGUGAUUAUCGCUUUGUCUUGCUUCCUAAAGCAUCAUUUUCAAUGACGAAGGAGGAAAAAAAGAAUAUUUUGCGGAGUUAUAAAAAAGGCAAAGCUACCGCAAGGGUGUUCAUCAAAUCUUGCAAGGUGUGAGCAAGUGAAGGAGGAAAAAAUUUUAGGGUAUAAGAGCCAUGAUGCUCAUAUAAUAAUGCAUCACUUCCGGUUGCUGUUAUAAAAUCUCUACCAAAGCAUGUGGCUUUGCCUCUUAUUAGAUUAAGUGCCUUUUUUCAGAUUAAUAUGCAAUAGAGUUAUCAUCCAAAUGAUUUGGAUUGCCUUCAAACGGAGAUUAGUGAGACUCUUUGUGAUCUUGAAAGAAUAAUCCCACCAUCUUUCUUUGAUAUCAUGGUUCACUUGCCCGUUCAUUUAGUCAAUGAAGUAAAGCUUGGUGGUCCUUUAUGUGAUUUGUGGAUGUUCCCGAUUCAAAGGUAUCUAGGAAAUUUGAAAUCUUAUGUUAAAAAUAGAAAUCGUCCUGAAACGUCGAUUGCAGAAGGUUAUUUGGCUGAAGAGUGUUUGGUAUUCUGCUCUAGAUAUUUGAAUGACAGAGAAAAGAUGCGAUCGAAGGGAUCUAAUGAAGUCAUAGGACAAAUGAUAAAGUUAAAGAUGAGGGGUCAUCUUUUUUCCUUAUAACCGGUUGUCCUCUUGGGAGGAAAAAGAAGGGAAAAAAGAAAGGAAAUGCAUUUAGUCUAGAUUCCAAGACAAGGACUCUGGCACAUCGUUAUGUAUUAUUCAACUGUGAAGAUGAGCAAGUUCAAUAUUAUAUCGAGAAACAUGAGAAGGUUGUGAAAAAUAAGUCAAAAAACAAGCAGAAUAGAAGGUGGAAGGAGGCUCAACAACAUGGCAAUGAAUUUAUGGAUUGGUUUAACGUAAAGAUUGAGUCAGCUAAUGUCUCAUAUCCAGUUAAGUGGCUUUCAUUGGGUCCUUCUAAUACUACUAGGAGAUGUGUUGGAUACUUUUGUAAUGGCUAUCACUUCUACACCAAAGAGCAUGAUGAGAAAUGCAAAACCCAAAAUAGUGGAGUCUCAUUGACUGCUUUGACUUCAAGCUUUGCAAGUAGCAAGGACUGUAAUCCUGCCUUGAGUAUGGUCACUUAUUACGGGGUCAUAAAAGAAAUUAUUGAGUUAGAUUAUUGGGGUGCAUUUAGUGUUGUACUGUUUGAAUGUGAUUGGUUUUUAAGUGGAAAUAGACGACUACAGCCUCACUCGUGCAAAUUUUAAGAAAUUCAUCUCCAAAGAUGACCCAUAUGUGUUGGCAUCACAAGUUCAUCAUGUAUUCAAUAUUCAAGAUGGCCUUGAAGAGGAUUGGCAUUAUGUGAAUCGUAUGUUGCCUAGAGAUUUUUUUAUGCUGAAGGGCAAUCUAGAGACAUAUAUGAAAGCAAAGUUCUUGAACUUGAUGAUGAUAUAAAUUUAGCUCCUGUAAAUGAUGAAGAUAUAAGUUCGUGUAGAGGAGAUGCUUGUCCUAAGGUUCAGGUGCAACAAAACAACAUUGGCAGUGAUUUAGGUGUUGAUACUUUCGAUGAUGAGUCCGACAUUGAUGAGCCAGAGUGGGAUUGGAUUGAACCGUCAACAUAAAUAUUUGAAUGAUAUUUUUUUAAAUGGGUAGACAAUUUCUAGCUAUAUUUCUUUUUCAAGAUUCUUGAGAAUUUUGAGUAGUAUUUGAUAUAAUAUCAUGCAGUUAAUUGUGUAAAUCUUUCUCUUAUGUGUGUAUUUCUUUCCGUUAGUGUGAAUUAUUUAUGCUUUUUGACCUAGUUAGGGUGACGGUUUUUGUUUGUAGACUUCUCUUACUUUCUUUGCUAAAGCUAGUGUGUUUUAUUGCUUUAAAAUUCAAUGUAUAGGUGGGCUGUCAUCCGUUUACAAUAUAUCCUCUUUUACAAACUUUUAUGCAUUUUUCUGACACUAUUUAACGGUUGUACCAAAGAUCUUCAAUAUGUCAGAUUAUGAAAAAAUAAGGCAGAAGAGGAUAGAAGAAAACAAACUAAGAAGGAAGGGUUUAGGGAUUAAUACAAUGGCUUAUGAAAUAAAUUAAUUAAUGAAUGGCUCAAAACAUCCGAAGAAAAUUAAGGUGUAAUCAAAAAAGGUAGGUAAAGAUCUCGAUGAUGAGUAUACACCCGCUGAAGAUAGCGAGCAGAAUCAUUCCAACGAAGAUGAAAAAAUGAGAUUAGGAAAAGUAGUGCAAAUUCAUUGGUUCAAACCAAGAAGGUCUUUUCUUUGAGAGAAAGUUCCAUGGCGAGUCACCAAAGCAAUAAAAAACGACUCUCAAAGCUGGUUCCACAAGGGAGAGUUCCACCACAAGGUACAAAGCAAUGUGAGGUUCAAGGGAGAGUUCCACUACAAGGUAAAGUUCUUGAUGAUGAGUAAGCAUCCACUGAAGAUAAUGAGCAGAAUCAUUGCAACGAAGAAGAUGCACAUGAGAUCAGGAAAAGUAGUGCAAAUUCAUUGCUUCACACCAAGAAGGUUUUUUCUUUGAGAAAAAGUUCCAUGGUGAAUCACCAAAGCAAUAAAAAAUGACUCUCAAGGCUAGUUCCACAAGGAAAAGUUCCGCCACAAGGUCAAACGCAAUGUAAGGUUCAAGUGAGAGAGAAACAAGGUAUCGAAACAAAGACGGGUCAUGGUAAAUCAAUGGUUUCUCCCGGCUCAAUUAGUGCUUAUAUGCAAUUGAAAGCAAGAAUGAGAGAGAAACAACUUAGAGAAAAACAUAAUGAUGGAUCACAACAGCAAUCUAUUGUGCAAAAAUCGCAUCAAGGUGGUUCAACAAAAUCACUAGGAAGUCAUUUACAACAAGAACCAUUUGACAUUGAUUUUGAAAAAGAUUAUGAUUACAUUAUGGAUUCAAAUGAAUGUGAUAGAAAUGACAUGGAUGGAGAAGAUGUCGAAUUUGGUUAUAAUGGUGACCUAUUGGACAUGCGAAAUGAAUCAUUAAUAAACCAAGAGAUAGAAAAUGAGCGAAGUGAUGCUAUAACACUUUUCUUUGUCAUCGUAUUAAAGCUUUUAGAUUUAUAUGCUAUUUCUUUAGUCGUAUUGUUUUAUAAUCUUUGUAUGUUGUUGUGUAGCACCUUUAAGAGAGAAGCGAACUAUAGGACCAACAAUGUGCAAAGAUGUGCAUGAAUGGACAAUAGAUGAUCGUAGGCGUAUCAUUCUUAAUGAAGUAGGGAAGCCUAUUGGUCUUGAUGAUCAUACGGUGGAUAAGUUUACACGGUUUUUGGGGACUUUAGCGCGUAAUUCUGCUCUUGCACCUUUAAACAAGCUUAAUUGGCAUCGUGUUGAAAACAAGGACAAUAUUUGGAGUUAUGUAAAGGUAAAGAUUUUGUGUUACGAUCAGUUGGAAUUCUUUGGCGAAGACAAGAAUGCUUUGUGAAGAAAAAACAUUUUAAAGCAUACAUCAACAAUAAUGAUAGAUUGACAAAUGCACCUGAUUCAAUUCCAGAAGCACAUGUUAAGGAUUUAACUGAAUAUUGGAAUUUGGAUGGAAUCGAGCAAUAAAGUCGAAGAAAAAAGGAAAGUAGUAUGAGUCAGAUUGAUAGGCACACUAUGGGUCUAAAGAGCUUUGCAAGAAAGGAAUAUGAAUUGCAACAAAUGGAUAAAGAGAAUAAGUCACCGUCUCAAGCUCUUACGUACAAAGAAACUGGAAAAAGAAAGGAAGGAAAAAAUUACAAAACAUCGCACGAGCUUAUUCAAAGUAACAUUGAUAAGAUGGAGGAGGUACAAUGGGAUUCAAAAGUUGAUGGAGAUAGUGCAUUUCAUGAAGUAAUGAACCAAGAAAACUAAAAAAAGAAACGACAAUUAAGAAUGUGCUUGGCAAAAAAAAAAAAAAGAGUAAUAAAGCUACAGCAGGCGGUGUAAAGUUCCUGAAGAAUUUUUGCAACCAUAUAAAGAUGAAAUCGUGAAGGAAAUUGUGGCACAAUUAUUGACGUUGUUCAAGCAACAUCUUCCUCUUGAAUCGUUUAACCAAGUAAUAACUGUUAGAAUAUUAAAUAUUAGGCAACAUAUUAUUCUCCAUAUAUUUUGGUGUACAUUUAGGGAUUAGAAUAUUUUUGUAUAUUCUCUUUUUAGGAAACAUCUCUUGUAUAUAUAGAUGACUAUGUAUAUUGAAGAAAAUAGAUUGAAAACCCUAAAACUCGAUUAUUCUCUUAAUCAUGGUAUCAGAGCCAAGACAUUUCUGAGGAGAAAUCGUCUAAGCGGCUUCAUCAUCUACCGGGAAAAUUAAACCUUACCUUAACAGAAAAAAAAUGGAGUCAAAAGACACCAUAAUCAUGCCAGACCAAUUUGUCACAAUGGGGCAGCUUUUGCAACUGUUCUCACAGUUAAACACCAACAAGCCACCUCCAUCACUACCCGAAACAACCACAAACACCACCACAAUUUCGAUUCCCACAUUCUCAAUAUCAGAAAAGUUAACUCACCAAAACUACACCAUGUGGUCCAGGUUGAUGCAAUUAGCCCUAAGUGGUCGUGAUCGGCUCAACCAUAUCAUCGCCGAUCCACCACCACAAACGGACCAAGAGUAUAGCCAAUGGACCAGGCGAGAUUAAGUGGUUAUCUCAUGGAUAAUCGAAAGCAUUCAUCCGGACCUAGUCAACCAGUUCA